UACGUAGGGGGCUAGCGUUGUCCGGAUUUAUUGGGCGUAAAGAGCUCGUAGGCGGUGUGUCACGUCGGCCGUGAAAACCUGCAGCUUAACUGUGGGCGUGCGGUCGAUACGGGCAUCACUGGAGUUCGGCAGGGGAGACUGGAAUUCCUGGUGUAGCGGUGAAAUGCGCAGAUAUCAGGAAGAACACCAAUGGCGAAGGCAGCUCUCUGGGACGGUACUGACGCUGAGACGCGAAAGCGUGGGGAGCGAACAGG
rnacentral:rRNA from 1 species